AGGCGUCCAGGUACUCGCCCUCGAAGGCCGUGGGCACCAGCUUGCGGGCGUCCACCAGGGCGGCCGCCAUGGCCGGGGCUGGGGGGGCUGCGGGGAAGGAAGGGGACAACAAAACCCACCCGAGAGCGCAAGGAGUUCGGGUCAGGGCCGCGGCCGCGGCUUGUUUACAUCCCGCCGCCCGCCCGGGCCCCCUUUAUAGGCCGCCGGUUGCAUCAGCCCCGCGGCCUCGGCCCCCCCCCCCCGUCCUCCUCCUCCUUCCCCGGGUUUCCGUCCCCUUUCGGCCGGUGGCCAAAGCACACAGAGCCGGGCGGGCGCCGCCACAGCGCCAGGGCGAGGGGGACGCGGCGGCCCCCACAAAAUGGUGGGCCCCCGGGGGGGAGAGGGGAUGCGGUUGCUCGAGGACAGCCCCGUGGUUUUAGCGCGACGAGGGUCUCUACGGCUUAAAAAGGGGGAGAAAAAAGGGGGGGGAAGCCAUGAGAGACCGUUGGGGGGGGGCCGCUUUGAGGGAGGGAGCCACCGAACUACAACUCCCAGCAGCCCCCGCGGCGGGGCGGGGACAACCGCGCAUGCGCGCUGGAUCCGCCCGUCGAACUCCCCGCGCAUGCGCAGUUGCGUCGCGCAGGCGCGCCGCUGGUGCUGCCUCCUCCGCGCGCCGCCGGCGCCUCUCGCGGCCCCGGUGCCGCCACGGAGGAGCGAUCGCGCAGCGAGCACAACCUGGUCAACAUCCAGAAGACGCACGAGCGGAUGCAGACGGAGAACAAGAUCUCUCCCUACUACCGCACCAAGCUGCGGGGGCUGUACACCACCGCCAAGGCUGACGCCGAGGCGGAGUGCAAGUAGGUCCGGGGGCCGCUUUGGCGCCGCACGCCGCGCUUUUGCCCCAUUUCACUGCUAUUUUGGGGGUUUUUUUGUGCUUUUUCCGUAGUAUUUUG
rnacentral:lncRNA from 1 species